GAAUCCAUAAAUUAUGAAACAGAUCAGAAAAACAUACUAGUGAUUAACGGAUUGUACCUGCAGUGAAGAAAGCAGAGGUAUAUGUACAAAGUCCUCUGAAAAUACUAGCUUUGCCAAACUAUCACAGCUGCAAACUUGUUGUGAGAUCAAGUUGCAAGCAGGCAUGUUGUUGUCAUCAUAAAUUUACUUUCACACUCCAAACACAUGAUGUGAAAGCCGAAUUGAUCUUCUCUAGAGAUGACAAAUAGAAGAUCCACACUGCAAACCUAGUAGGCUAGCCAUAAGUUUGACAUCUUAGGCACUAAGAAGAAGAUCAAUACAAGGUCAACAGAGUUACAGAUACAUCCACGAGGAGCAGGACUGGCCGGAAUAUGAUGGUACCUGCCGGCAACCAGUGCCUGGCCUUGCCAUCCAUCACCCCUGAAGCGGCCUGCCGCGAUGUACCUGUUGCUGAAGCCCCUGCUGCAUCCUGCGGCCUGAGGUGGGGAUGAUGAGGAGGUCGGUGCGCGAGGGUGGGGAUGCAGGGAUUAGGACGAGCUAGCCACUGCAAGAUCCUAGAGCGCCGGAGGCCGCGUCACGGGGAACCGCCGGCGGGCGGCGGCGGUGCCGUCGUGUGUGGCGGAGCGGCGACGACGGACGGACGGACGGACCGACCGACCGACGAAGGAGCAGGAAAUAAAGACCACCGCACGGGGCGCUUUUUAUUUUCCGCCAGGGGCCACGCUCCCCACCCACACUGAUCCCAGC
rnacentral:lncRNA from 1 species